rnacentral:sRNA from 1 species
UGGCAUCUGGUCCCAUCACUUCGUGACAUAAAGAUGGGAAACCAAUGGAAACAGUGAGAAACUAUUUGGGGGGAGCAGGUUCCAAAAUCACUGAAGAUGGUGACUCUGUUCAGGAAAUUAAAAUAUGCUUUCUCCUUAGAAGAAAAGUUACAACCAGGCUGGACAGCACAUUAUAAAGCAGACAAAGGUCAGUCUAGUCAAAGCUAUGUAAAGAGAUGAGAAUUGGACCUAAAGAAUCUUGACCUCCAAGGAAUCGAUGCUAUUGAUAUGUGGUGUUAGAGAAAACACUUGAGAGUCCCUUGGACUGCAAGGAAAUGAAAGGAGUCAAUUCUAAAGGAAAUCAGUUCAGAAUAUUGAUUGGAAGGGCUGAUGCUGGAACUGGAUCCUGGAUAUUUUGGCCACCUGAAAUGAAAGGCUGACUCAUUGGGAAAGAACCUGAUGCUGAGAAAGAUUGAAGGCUGGAGGAGAGGGUGACGACAGAAGAUGAAAUGCAUGGUGGCAUCAGGGAAUCAGUGGUUAUGGGUUUGAGCAGGCUCUAUGAGUUGGUGAUUGACAGGGAAGCCUGUCAUGCUGCAAUCCAUGGGAUCAGGAAGAGUCGGACUUAAUGAUACUCACCAAACUUACUUAGGUUCUCAGCGAAAUGAAAAUGGUAAAGAACUCUCUUACCCAUCAAUUGAUAAUCCUCACAGAUUCCUAAUGCCCCCUAAGAUUUUUAACUGUUUCUUCAGAGAUUCAGCAAGGAUGGCCAUUCUUUCCAUUAUAUGGGUAAAUAUCCCCUAGGAAAUAAUGGAAGGGGCAUAAUUUACAGAAAGUUGUAGAAGAAAGUACACACAUCAGCAAGUCAGCAUGACCUUGUCAAAAACUUAUAGUAUGAUCCUUUAAUCCUUCACACUGAUUUCCUUCUGAAACCUGAUGAUAGGACCUCACCAAUCCUGAGGAAUGGUCAUUGCAAAGGGAUGUUAUCUAGAACAAUUUCUGCCUAUUACUUUAGUGAUGACACAAAGCAGGCACAUUAUGGUAAUCAUGCCUCCGUUAACCUCCCCUAACCAAGACAAUAGGCUGCACUAGCCAUUGGGGAGCUUACAGGAUCACAAGGUCUCCUGUAAAUGGUUGGAGCCACCUGGGCCUUUCCCACAGAGGGUUUGCAGGUAUGAUGAGGUCACCUUUUCCAUGGCAAAAAUUCUUAUCUAUGGCCACCAGUCUUACUGCCAGUCCUCUGGAUUUGUGAGAACCCCACAAGACCAACUCUAGCUUGCAAAGUAUACAUCUGCUUAAAAAACAAACAAAAGGAUAAAAUCCAGUCCAAACUGAAGUGCCUAAGGAUAAUCAAAUGGUCCUCAGUUCUAUGAAGGGCCAUUAGGGCCACAAAAGCACGGGUCCAGGCAAGUUCAUUGUUAACACCUGCAGCCCUUCAAAGGACAUGUCCUGGUAAUGGAUAAAGAUUGUAGAUUGUAAGUCCUCUACCAAUUUGAGAAAUUGUGUCAACAAGACCUCUGAACCUCCCAUCUUAGCCAAGCCUAAAAGACAGAAUAUGUGCAUAUCAGGCCCAAGGCACAUUCAACUGGGAAUAUUUGGAGGUAACAGUACCAGAUAUAGGACACUAUAGAGAAGGUGUACACAAAAAUGAAAUAAGAAAAAAAAAAGGUCUCACGAAUUC